rnacentral:rRNA from 1 species
GACGAACGCUGGCGGCGUGCCUAAUACAUGCAAGUCGAACGCUUCUUUCCUCCCGAGUGCUUGCACUCAAUUGGAAAGAGGAGUGGCGGACGGGUGAGUAACACGUGGGUAACCUACCCAUCAGAGGGGGAUGACACUUGGAAACAGGUGCUAAUACCGCAUAACAGUUUAUGCCGCAUGGCAUAAGAGUGAAAGGCGCUUUCGGGUGUCGCUGAUGGAUGGACCCGCGGUGCAUUAGCUAGUUGGUGAGGUAACGGCUCACCAAGGCCACGAUGCAUAGCCGACCUGAGAGGGUGGUCGGCCACACUGGGACUGAGACACGGCCCAGACUCCUACGGGAGGCAGCAGUAGGGAAUCUUCGGCAAUGGACGAAAGUCUGACCGAGCAACGCCGCGUGAGUGAAGAAGGUUUUCGGAUCGUAAAACUCUGUUGUUAGAGAAGAACAAGGACGUUAGUAACUGAACGUCCCCUGACGGUAUCUAACCAGAAAGCCACGGCUAACUACGUG